CAAGAUGUAGCUUAAACACAGAGCAUUCAGCCUACACCUGAAAAAUAUCCACAACUGGAUCACCUUGA
rnacentral:tRNA from 1 species